UACGUAGGGUGCAAGCGGUGUCCGGAUUUAUUGGGUUUAAAGGGUGCGUAGGCGGUUCUUUAAGUCCGGGGUGAAAGCCCACUGCUCAACAGUGGAACUGCCCUGGAAACUGGAGAACUUGAGUACAGACGAGGGCGGCGGAAUGGAUGGUGUAGCGGUGAAAUGCAUAGAUACCAUCCAGAACCCCGAUUGCGAAGGCAGCUGCCUAGACUGUAACUGACGCUGAGGCACGAAAGCGUGGGGAGCGAACAGG
rnacentral:rRNA from 1 species